rnacentral:lncRNA from 1 species
CCCAUAACUUUAAUAAAGAAUUGAAAUGUAGACAAAGUUAUUUAACAAAAUUUCAAAAUAAUUGUUUGACAAAAUAUGAAAUAAGGCGUAAACAUACCGUUUGAAUAUUUUUCUGACUGAGUCGAUUGCCCAGCGGGAUAUGGCUGUUUUUGGGUUGAAAAUUAAACAGUUAAUAAAUCACAAUUCAAUACAAUGAGUGAUGUUAAAGAACACAUAUUAUAAACAUGAUAAUUGAUAAAAAAUAUUACAAAAGAAGUAAUUGGUAAAGCUAAAACUAAGUAUCACACCAAUUCAGUUCUAAUGACAUAGUAAUCAAAAUCCUCUUUCAAUCUAUUGCAUAAUACUCCUGCUCUUGGCAGUUA